UGCCAGCAGCCGCGGUAAUACGGAGGGUGCAAGCGUUAAUCGGAAUUACUGGGCGUAAAGCGCGCGUAGGCGGCUUGUUAAGCUGGAUGUGAAAGCCCCGGGCUCAACCUGGGAAUGGCAUUCGAUACUGCAUGGCUAGAGUAUGGUAGAGGGAAGUGGAAUUUCCGGUGUAGCGGUGAAAUGCGUAGAUAUCGGAAGGAACACCGGUGGCGAAGGCGGCUUUCUGGACCGAUACUGACGCUGAGACGCGAAAGCGUGGGGAGCAAACAGGAUUAGAUA
rnacentral:rRNA from 1 species